rnacentral:rRNA from 1 species
AGUGAACGCUGGCGGUAGGCCUAACACAUGCAAGUCGAACGGCAGCACAGUAAGAGCUUGCUCGUACGGGUGGCGAGUGGCGGACGGGUGAGGAAUACAUCGGAAUCUACUUUUUCGUGGGGGAUAACGUAGGGAAACUUACGCUAAUACCGCAUACGACCUACGGGUGAAAGCAGGGGAUCUUCGGACCUUGCGCGAUUGAAUGAGCCGAUGUCGGAUUGGCUAGUUGGCGGGGUAAAGGCCCACCAAGGCGACGAUCCGUAGCUGGUCUGAGAGGAUGAUCAGCCGAACUGGAACUGAGACACGGUCCAGACGCCUACGGGAGGCAGCAGUGGGGAAUAUUGGACAAUGGGAGCAAGCCUGAUCCAGCCAUACCGCGUGGGUGCAGAAGGCCUUCGGGUUGUAAAGCCCUUUUGUUGGGAAAGAAAAGCAGCAGGUUAAUACCCCGCUGUUCUGACGGUACCCAAAGAAUAAGCACCGGCUAACUUCGUG